rnacentral:rRNA from 1 species
UACGGAGGGGGCUAGCGUUGUUCGGAAUUACUGGGCGUAAAGCGUAUGCAGGCGGAUCGUUAAGUCGGGGGUGAAAUCCCGAGGCUCAACCUCGGAACUGCCUUCGAUACUGGCGAUCUUCGAGUCCGGGAGAGGUGAGUGGAACUCCGAGUGUAGAGGUGAAAUUCGUAGAUAUUCGGAAGAACACCAGUGGCGAAGGCGGCUCACUGGCCCGGUACUGACGCUGAGAUACGAAAGCGUGGGGAGCAAACAGG